rnacentral:misc_RNA from 1 species
AACCUAGCACACCUGCGGUGUGUACCUGCGGAGGGAUCAUUACCGAGUUUACAACUCCCAAACCCCUGUGAACAUACCUAUACGUUGCCUCGGCGGAUCAGCCCGCGCCCUGUAAAACGGGACGGCCCGCCCGAGGACCCUAAACUCUGUUUUUAGUGGAACUUCUGAGUAAAACAAACAAAUAAAUCAAAACUUUCAACAACGGAUCU